GUGUGUGUGUGCUGCAAUCUCUACCACCACUCCCACCAUUACCACUCCUAUAUACUUUUAAUACCGUACUAUAACAUUUUUUGUACAUCUACGCUACGUAACUAAACCACUCCCUAACAUGAUCGUGACUAAGGUUAAGAGAAAAAACAUUGUUAUUAUUAUUAUUAUUAUUAUUAUUAUUAUUAUUAUUAUUAUUAUUGAGAGAUUAUUAGGAAAGGAAUAUAUCCCGAGAAGUGAAGAUUUAAAGAUUUAUUUACAGAAUAGGAAAGGAAAGAACAUAUGACCAGAAAGAUCAAAGGGAAACAGGAGGAAAAGAAGGAAGCAACACAGAAGGGGAGAUAAAGAGAAGGAAGAAGAGAGGAAAAGAUAGAAGUAGAAAGGACAGGAGAGGAAAAAGAAAGGGAUAACUGGGUGAAUACUAAGAGGAAAUAAGGGAAAGAACAAGAGAUAAGAAGAGAUAGAAAAGGAGGUGGAGGAAAGAAGGGAGAGGUAACAGAAGUGGAGGGAAACAAAAGAAUAACGAAAGUCAACAGGAAAGACGAAAAGCGAGAGGAAGAGGAGGGAGAGAGGGAGACAAGAAGAGGAGGAAGAAGACACGAGAAAAUGAGCCGGGGAGAAGAGGAAUAGGAGAGGAGGAAGAGGAAAAAUAGAAAGACGAAAGGAAAGGAGAAUGAGAGAACAAAAUGAGGAAUAUAAGAGGAGGAAAAGGAAGAAGAAAAAGCGAAAGACGAGAGAAGGAGGAGGAAGCAACAAAAAAGAGGAAAAGGAGAAAUAAGAGAGGAGGAGGAGGAGGAGGAGGAGGAGGAAAAUAGAAAGACAAGAGAAGAUGAGGAAUAGGAGAGGAGAAAGAGGAAAAAUAAAUUCAAGAAAAACAAAAAGGAAAAGGAGAAAUAGGAAAAUAGAAAGACAAGGGAAGAUGAAGAAUAGAAGAGAAGGAAAAAGAUAAAAAAAUAAAGACAAGUAAAACAAAAAGAGGAAAAGGAGAAAUAGGAAAAUAGAAAGAAAAGAGGAGAGGAGGAGAAAGAGGAAAAAUAGACAAGAAAAACAAAAAGGAAAAGGAGAAAUAGGAAAAAACAAGAGAGGAGGUGGAGGAAGAGAGAAAAGAAGAAAGAAGAAAGACAAGAGGAGGGUGUUGGGGGCGGUUGGGCGAGUAGGUAAGGGAGGAUUGUGGGUAACCACGCCCCCCCAUCACCCUCACCCCCCCCCUUUUACACCUACCCCCCCCCACUCCCCUCCACUACCUGUAUUGGGGGUGAAAUAGUAAUAGUAGUAGUAAUAAUAGUAAUAAUAAACCUUUAAAACGUUCAUUGACAUUCCUUUAGGAUUUAAAUAUACUUUGUUAUUUACUUAUAUUUCACGAGAGAGAGAGAGAGAGAGAGAGAGAGAGAUGUCCAGCAGCAGUCCAUCCCUCCCUCCCUCUUCCUCUCCCUCCCUCUCUCCCUCCUCUCCCUCGGGGUCUUCUCAGGAACAAGUGCACCCAGUGUUGCCAACCCCCUCCCUGCACGUGCUAACCCCUGACACGUUCCCCCUUUUUAUCCAUUUCCUGGCCUUGCACGCUGAUCUCGGGACUUGUGUUGAAGGGAGAGAAUGUGUAGACGUGUGUGGGUGGACGUGGGCGCGGGUGCAGGCGUGGGUGCAGGCGUGGGGAGGGCGUGGGCGCGGCAGUGUUGGCAGCGCGGGGGUGAGUGAUGGCAUUUGUGCGUGUUGAGGUGGCGACCGCGCGCUGCGUUGCCACGUCGCCGCUCCCAGAGGCUCGCACUUCUCCUCUCACUGGGUUUGGAAGCCUGGCCGCAUCUUCCCAGUGGUCCUAGAAAGCUAAACGUCUUCCUAAAACACCUCAUAGAGUCACUAGUUGAGGUAGUUAUGAAUGAUGAAAAACAUUAAUUAAACUAUACAUCUGUCUAUGUCUCUCCUCUCAAUGGUUUUGGCCGCAUCUUCCUAGUGGUUCCAGAAAGCUAUACGUCUUCCCAAACCAUCAAUACACCGCCAUACACUUCAUAUAGUCAUUAGUUGAAAGUUAAAAGCACACUAAUUACUUCUUGUCCCACUCUUUUCAUCUCUGGUUUUGGGAGACUGAUCGCAUCUUCAAAGUGGUUCCAGAAAGCUAAACGCCUUCCUAAACCAUUAAUACACUCAAAUACACCUAAUACAGUCAUAAGUUGAAGGUUAAAAGCACAUUCAUUCUUUCGUCUCACUUUACUCUGGUUUGGAAGCCUGGCCGGAUCUUCAAAGUGGUUCCAGAAAGCUAAACGUCUCCCUAACCCACCUAAUACAUCCUUAUACAGUUGUUAGUUGAGAUUGUUAAGAGAGACGAAAAGGAUAUCAAUUGUCACGUCACUGGUUCACUCUUCUCACUCACUGGUUUGGAAGCCUGGUCGCAUCUCCCCAGUGGUCCUAGAGAGCUAAAUGUCAUUCUAAACCACUUAUUACACCUCCAUACACCCUAAGCAGUUAUAAGCACAUAUUCCAUUGUCUCCUAAUACUGUAUCUCACUCCCAGCGGUUCUAGAGAGCUUAACUUUUUCCCAAACCAUUAAUACGACGCCUUACACCUCAUGCAGUCACUAGUUGAGGUAGUUAUUAAGGUUAAAAGCACACUCAUUCUUUCAUCUCCCACCAAUGUCACUUCUCACUCGUUUUGGAAGCCAGGCCACAUCUCCCCAGUGAUUCCAGAGAGCUAAACGUUUUCCUAUACCAUCAAUACAUGCAGUCAUUAAUUGAGGUAGUUAUGUAAUUUAGAAGCACGCUCAUUCCUUCCUCUCUCACUUCUCUCUUCUCACUACUUAUGGAAGUCUAGCCGCAUCUUCCUAAACUUAAUACACCCAAAGGAAGUCUGGCCGCAUCUUCCUAAACUUAAUACACCCCAAUAUACCUCAUACACUCAUUAGCUGAAGGUUAAAACGCUCUCAUUCUUUCCACUCACUUCUCUCGUCUCUCACCGGUUUUGGAAGCCUGGCCACAUCUUCCCCAGUGGUUCCAGAGAGCUAAACGUCUUCCUAAACCAACUGAUACAUCCUUCUACACCACAUACAGUCAUUAGUUGAAAGUUUAGACACCAUUCUUCAUUCGUCUCCCCCCCCCCCCCCCAACCAACUCAAUUAUCUCACUCGUUUUGGAAGUCUUGCCGCCUCUUCCCAGGGUUUCCAGAAGGCUAAACGUCUUCUUAAACCAUUAAAACACCGCCGUACACCUCACACAGACAUUAGUUGAGGUAGUUAUGAAAGUUAAAAGCACAAUCAUUCUUUCCUCUUCCACUUCUACAUCUCUCUUCUCAUUUAUUUCACUCGUUUUGGAAUCCUCUACGCAUCUUCCCAGUUGUUCCAGAGCGCUACACGUCUUAUACCACCUAAUGCACGGCCAUACACCUCAUGCAGUCUUUAAUUGAGGUAGCUAAGAAAGAUGAAACCACACAUUCUUUUCUCACUUCUCUCACUUGUUUGGAAGCCUGGCAGCAUCUUCCCAGUGGUUCCAGAGAGCUAAACGUAUUCCUGAACCACCUGACACAUUCUCACACACCUCAUGCAGUCUUUGAGGUAGCUAAGAAAGAUGAAACCACACAUUCUUUUCUCACUUCUCUCAUCACUAUCUCACUUGUUUUGAAGCCUGGCAGAAUAUUCCCAGUGGUUCCAGAGAGUUAAACAUAUUCCUAAACCACCUGACACAUUCUCACACACCUCAUGCAGUCAUUCGUUGAGGUAGUAUAAGAGAUGACAUGCACACUCAUUCUUUCAUCUCUUUACAACUCACUCGUUUUGGAAGCCUGGCCGCAGUACACCAACACUUUCUGGGAUCUAACUGUACUAUUCUGCCGUCACUUGUUAAUUAAAGCCUUACACACACUUCAGACGUUAAUUAAUUGAGUCAUUUAGAAGAGUUUCAGCCACGUUCAUUCUCUCCUUCUCUUUUCCUCUAUCUCGAAGCACAGACGCAUCUUACAAGUACUAUUUAGUGUGAUAUCAAUGUAUUCUCAAGUCGGUACAUUCUCCAUACACCAAUCUUUCAUCCUAUUAAUAAAAGAUUCAGGCACUCAUUUUUUUCUCUUUUCCAUCUCCUUUUUUUUUUUUUAAACACGCAUCUUACAAAUAUUUCUUAUGGUUAGUAUGUAUUCCUAAACCCCUUUCUACAACCUCACACUAAUUAUGCGAGUUAUCAGUGAAAUUUUAAGGAAAACUCAUUAUUUAUCCUUUUCUUUCUCUAUUUCUUUCGACACAAUGCAUCUUAUAAGUAUUUCUUCUGGUUAGUAUGUAUUCCAAAACCCCUUCCUACAACCUCACACUAAUUAUGCGAGUUAUCAGUGAAAUUUUAAGGAAAACUCAUUAUUUAUCCUUUUCUUUCUCUAUUUCUUUCGACACAAUGCAUCUUACAAGCAUUCCCUUUGAUUAUAAUGUAUUGUCAAACCACUUACUAUAUCCUCAUACAUUAUUUAUUUGAGUUAUUCAUGAAAUCUCAAGGCAAGCUCAUUCUUCCUCUCCCUUUUCUUCUCUCCUGUUUUCCAGCCUCAAAUAACAAGUGUUCCCUUUGAUAAUAAUGUAUUUCUUAAACCACUUAUGGUACAACGUCCUCAAACUCCUAGUACAGUAAUCAUUUGAGUUAUGAAAUCUUAACGGAAACUCAUUUUUUCUCGCCUUUAUCAUCUUCUUUCGACACAGACACAUCUUGCAAGUAUAUAUUUCCUUAGAUUAUAAUGUAGUUUCAAACCACUUAAAGUACUACAUCUUUUUUUUUUUUUUUUUUUUUUUUUUUUUUUUAAAAAAUAGGAGUUAGUUCAAGGGCAUAAAAAAAAGGAAACAACUGUGAAAAAAAAGCCCGCUACUCACUGCUCCUAAAAAGAGUUAGAGGAGUGGCCGAAAGAUAGGUCAUACUCCCAAUACAGUAAUCAUCCAAGUUAUUUACGAAAGAUUAAGGCUGGCUCGUUCUUUCUCUCCUUUCUUUUCUUCUUUCGACACAGACGCAUCUUACAAGUAUAUAUUUCCUUCGAUUAUAAUGUGUUUUCAAAUCUUCAUACGCAAUUUUUUUUUUUUUUUUUUUUUUUUUUACAGCAAAGGAGACAGUUCAAGGGCACACAAAAAGCAAACAUUAAUAAUAAAAAAAAGCCCGCUACUCACUGCUCCUAAAAAGAAUCAUUCGAGUUAUUUAUGAAAGAUUAAGGCAGGCUUAUUCUUUCUCUCCUUUUCCUUCUUCUUUCGACACAGACGCAUCGUACAAGUAUUUCCUUAGAUCAUAAUGUAUUUUCAAACCACUUAUAGUAUUACAUCUUCAUACUCCCACUAGAGUAACCAUUUGAGUUAUUUAUGAAAGAUUAAGGCUUGCUCAUUCUUUCUCUCCUUUUCUUCUUUCGACACAGACGCAUCGUACAAGUAUUUCCUUAGAUCAUAAUGUAUUUUCAAACCACUUAUAGUACUACAUCUUCAUACUCCCAAUACAGUAAUCAUUCGAGUUAUUUACGAAAGAUUAAGGCAGGCUCAUUUUUUCUCUCCUAUUCUUUCUUUUCUUCUUUCGACACAGACGCAUCUUACAAGUAUUUCCUUAGAUCAUAAAGCAUUCUCAAAGCACUUAAUAAAGAUGAAAGCACACUCAUAACUUCCUCAGUCUCACUUCUCUCACUGGUUUGUAACCCUGGCCGCAUCUUCCCAGGGGUUCCAGAGGGCUAAACGUCUUCCCACACCAUCCUCAUACUCCUCGUAAACUAAUUAUUUGAGUUAGGUAAGAAAGCUAAAGGCAUGCUCAUUCAAUCCUUUCAUCUCCCUUUCUAAAGCAUGGCCGCUUCUCACAUGACGCCGGGAUUUUUCAGUCACCGCCGAGUGGCCUAAGACUACCCACAUGCUGUCCAGAAGACCACCCAUCAACCCGGACUCUAGAUUCUUGGAUUAAAGAUGAGCUCCGGGGGGCAGCAUGAGGCAAUGCAAGAUGGUGCCACUAUAAACACUUGCCUGCGCCACAACGAGGUGGGGCCGGCCAUCAGGCCUCAUCAAGAAAGCCUACCGGUGCCAUACGUAGGCGAAUACGUAAAAAAAAAAUGACAUUUCCUGUGAUUUCAUUAACAUUAUGAGUAAAAGUCAAAGGUAAGCCGUUCCUUUCCUUCUUCCCUCGCCUCCUCUCUCUCCUCUUUUUACAGCACGGCCGCAUCUCAAUCCUUUCCCGCGAUUUUAAUGGUCAAGACCAAGGUACGGGUACAGUCUGCCCAUGUGUGGCGAGGACAUUGGGAUCUUGGAAAAUUUCACAUACCUUAGUAACGUACAUAGCUCAGAACAACGGCGGUCUUGAGGAAGUCUUCUUAGAGAUAGAUGAUUUGCUUGGCCCACAGCGUGAUAGAUUUGCUCAACGCAAGUAUGUGGCGUUGUCGAUACCUGUGCAGAGUGCAGACUUGAAGAGGCGGAUUGAUGCCUAAGGUAAUAAGGGCCUACGCCGAAUCAUGGGAUAUCGCUGGAGUGGCUGUGUGAAUCAUGGGAUAUCGCUGGAAUGGCUGUGUGUCAACGCGAUUACUCUGUGAGACUGAUUCGAGGCCUACCUAUUACCUGCAUAGUCCAUGAACGCCCACUCCGGCUACAUGUGACAUGCUACACAAGUUCUGUAAAUGACAACCCCGAGUGGAGGAGGCCAAGGGGACGCCCACAGAGUACAUGGAUAAGAGAAGUCGAUGGUUCUUGUCUGGAGUCUUGCUCAGAGGUAUACCUCCGGGUGGGGGAAGCAACUCGUCCUCGGUGUAUGCCCCUGAUGACAGAUGGCCAGUUCGACAGUCCAAAACCGUGUCAUUGUAAGCGCCCAAAACAAACUAUAUUCUCCAAAAUGAUCCGUUACUUCUACUCAAUACCAGAUACUAAUAAAGAGAUUCCCUGUGUGGUUUCCUAAAAUUUCCUUCUCCUUUUUCUCUCAACGCCAAACACAAGGGCUACAAGGAGUUUUGGUCGUGUUUUGUGUUUGGUUGGGGAGCUCACAAACGUAGUGUAUUGGACUGUAAAACUGGCCCAGAGUAAUUAGACGUUAUGAAUAAUCAGUUUGCGCAUUUUUCAACAUGUAAAUUUCAAAUGAAGGCACGUUGUUGCUGCCAUGCCCGUUCCUUUCCUCUUUUCUCUCUCGCUCGUGUGUGAAGCGCGGCUGUAGGUCACCGCCAUUCCCCCUGAUGACUGAAUGAUUAGACGUUAUGCAUAAUCAGUUUACGCAUUUUUCAACAUGCAAAUUUCAAAAGAAGGCACGCCGUUGCUGACAUGCCAGUUCCGUUCCUCUUUUCUCUCUCCUCUCGCUCGUGUGUGAAGCGCGGCUGCAGGUCACCGCCACUCCCCCAGACUUCAAUAACACUCCAUCACCACAUUAAUUAACAUCAUCGUCAUCAUCAGCCACUGCAGGACAUGAUCAUGAAACGUACGUAGCCUAAAAAUAAUUGCGUAGUCUGCACUCUUACCUGACGAGUUAAUUACAGGUAACUCGAUUUACGCGAGUUUGGUUUACGCGUUUGUUUUUUAAAUAACGCGGGGUACAAAAUCCCAAUCAAUGUUUAAUUUACACGUUUUUUUCACUUAUACGCGAUAUUUUAUGGAGUGGCCACUAGAUGUCUCACGCAACUGGACUCACACGGCGCCGCGGCUACACAGCUGAGCUCAGUUCUUCCCGCGCGCUAUCAUUACCCACAUUACAUAAAGCCUACAAUCGGGCAACAAAGAUUGAAAAAAAAAAAUAGUUUGGACUGACUAACUAUAUAUUAUUACGCCGUUUACAUAAAAAUCUUGUAACCGGGAGACAUUUCAAAGCUAUAAAAUGAUUCGGGUUAUAAUUUUACCUCAAUAUUUCCCAGUCUUACAUCAUAGAAAAAAAAGUUAAAAAUAGAUACGAAAAUUGCAUUGGCUACAUUUUAUUAUUAUUAUUUUUUUUUUUUACCUCUUACAAGUGAUUUACAUUUAAAAGCUAUAAAAUGAUUCAGGCCAUAAUUUUACCACCGUAGAAAAUUAAUAAAAAAGUUAAAAAGAUAUAAAAAUUGCAUAGGCUACCUCGUACAAAUGAUGUGAUAUAACGUCAAUUCGAUAUAAAACCAGAAAAAAUCGACAAAUAAUGAUAAUAAUGAUAAUGAUACUGAAUGAUUUAAUAGAUAUAAAUACUGCAUAGGCUAAAUUUUUUUUCUACCUCGUACAAGUGAUGUGAUAUAACGUCAGUUCGAUAUAAAACCAGAAAA